rnacentral:rRNA from 1 species
GACGAACGCUGGCGGCGUGCUUAACACAUGCAAGUCGAACGGAAAGGCCCUGCUUUUGUGGGGUGCUCGAGUGGCGAACGGGUGAGUAACACGUGAGUAACCUGCCCUUGACUUUGGGAUAACUUCAGGAAACUGGGGCUAAUACCGGAUAGGAGCUCCUGCUGCAUGGUGGGGGUUGGAAAGUUUCGGCGGUUGGGGAUGGACUGGCGGAUUAUCAGCUUGUUGGUGGGGUGGCUUACCAAGGCUUUGACGGGUAGCCGGCCGUCGAGGGUGGACGGCCACCUUGGGACUGAGAUACGGACCAGACUCCUACGGGAGGCAGCAGUGGGGAAUAUUGCCCAAUGGGCGGAAGCCUGAUGCAGCAACGCCGCGUGCGGGAUGACGGCCUUCGGGUUGUAAACCGCUUUAGCCUGUGACGAAGCGUGAGUGACGGUACUGGGUAAAGAAGCACCGGCUAACUACGUG